rnacentral:rRNA from 1 species
UACGGGGGGGAGCAAGCGUUGUUCGGAUUUACUGGGCGUAAAGGGCGCGUAGGCGGCCACCGCAAGUCGGUUGUGAAAUCUCUGGGCUUAACCCAGAAAGGUCAACCGAUACUGCGGGGCUAGAGUGCAGAAGGGGGCAACUGGAAUUCUCGGUGUAGCGGUGAAAUGCGUAGAUAUCGAGAGGAACACCUGCGGCGAAGGCGGGUUGCUGGGCUGACACUGACGCUGAAGCGCGAAAGCUAGGGGAGCGAACGGG